rnacentral:rRNA from 1 species
GACGAACGCUGGCGGCGUGCUUAACACAUGCAAGUCGAACGGUGAAGCUCCAGCUUGCUGGAGUGGAUCAGUGGCGAACGGGUGAGUAACACGUGAGCAACCUGCCCCAGACUCUGGAAUAAGCGCUGGAAACGGCGUCUAAUACUGGAUACGAGAUCAAGCCGCAUGGUUAUGGUCUGGAAAGUUUUUCGGUUUGGGAUGGGCUCGCGGCCUAUCAGCUUGUUGGUGAGGUAAUGGCUCACCAAGGCGACGACGGGUAGCCGGCCUGAGAGGGCGACCGGCCACACUGUGACUGAGACACGGCCCAGACUCCUACGGGAGGCAGCAGUGGGGAAUAUUGCACAAUGGGCGAAAGCCUGAUGCAGCGACGCCGCGUGAGGGAUGACGGCCUUCGGGUUGUAAACCUCUUUCAGCAGGGAAGAAGCGAAAGUGACGGUACCUGCAGAAGAAGCACCGGCUAACUACGUG